GUCUACGGCCAUACCACCCUGAACGCGCCCGAUCUCGUCUGAUCUCAGAAGCUAAGCAGGGUUGGGCCUGGUUAGUACUUGGAUGGGAGACCGCCUGGGAAUACCAGAUGCUGCAGGCU
rnacentral:rRNA from 1 species